rnacentral:sRNA from 1 species
UUUUCACAUUUAUCCUGCCUUUUAAAACCUUUACAAUGCAAAGGCACACUCAUAUAUAUGACUUUGAUAUCUGAACCCUGUCAAUAAGGCAUAUCUGCAAAAAAAAACAAAACAAAAAAACAAAAACCAAAAAAAAAAAAAAAAAAAAAUUAACCUAAAAGAUGCGCUUCAUGGAAACCAUUGUCGUGAUUAUUGAUUAUUCUAUGAUUAUUCUAUUUUUCUUCUUCUUUUUUUUUUUUAUAAACAAUGCUUUAUGAAUGCAUUUCUAAUGAUCAAAUGAAAUUUGCGGGACAAUUGUUGAGUUAUAAGCAAGACAAAGGGCUCACAAUUCUUUGUCAUGUAAACAAAACUCGUGCCCUCUUUUUGUUUACAAAUGUUCAAUAUACCAGUAAAGGAUCUUUUUCAAGCGG